rnacentral:ncRNA from 1 species
CGAGGAAUGCCUAGUAAGCGCGAGUCAUCAGCUCGCGUUGACUACGUCCCUGCCCUUUGUACACACCGCCCGUCGCUCCUACCGAUUGAAUGGUCCGGUGAAGUGUUCGGAUCGCGGCGACGGGGGGUGUUCGCCGCCCCCGACGUCGCGAGAAGUCCAUUGAACCUUAUCAUUUAGAGGAAGGAGAAGUCGUAACAAGGUUUCCGUAGGUGAACCUGCGGAAGGAUCAUUG